rnacentral:rRNA from 1 species
AUUGAACGCUGGCGGCAUGCCUUACACAUGCAAGUCGAACGGUAACGGGCCUUCGGGUGCCGACGAGUGGCGAACGGGUGAGUAAUACAUCGGAACGUUCCCGAUCGUGGGGGAUAACGAGGCGAAAGCUUUGCUAAUACCGCAUACGAUCUACGGAUGAAAGCAGGGGACCGCAAGGCCUUGCGCGGACGGAGCGGCCGAUGGCAGACUAGGUAGUUGGUGGGAUAAAAGCUUACCAAGCCGACGAUCUGUAGCUGGUCUGAGAGGAUGAUCAGCCACACUGGGACUGAGACACGGCCCAGACUCCUACGGGAGGCAGCAGUGGGGAAUUUUGGACAAUGGGCGCAAGCCUGAUCCAGCCAUGCCGCGUGCAGGAUGAAGGCCUUCGGGUUGUAAACUGCUUUUGUACGGAACGAAAAGCCUUCUUUUAAUACAGGAGGGUCAUGACGGUACCGUAAGAAUAAGCACCGGCUAACUACGUG